UGACUGCCCUAUGGGUUGUAAACUGCUUUUGUGGGGGAUAACACCGUCCACGUGCUGGAGGUCUGCAGGUACCGCGCGAAUAAGGACCGGCUAAUUCCGUGCCAGCAGCCGCGGUAAUACGGAAGGUCCGGGCGUUAUCCGGAUUUAUUGGGUUUAAAGGGAGCGUAGGCCGUGAGGUAAGCGUGUUGUGAAAUGUAGGCGCCCAACGUCUGCACUGCAGCGCGAACUGCCCCACUUGAGUGCGCGCAACGCCGGCGGAACUCGUCGUGUAGCGGUGAAAUGCUUAGAUAUGACGAAGAACCCCGAUUGCGAAGGCAGCUGGCGGGAGCGUAACUGACGCUGAAGCUCGAAAGCGCGGGUAUCGAACAGGAUUAGAUACCCUGGUAGUCCGCGCGGUAAACGAUGGAUGCCCGCUGUGGCGCGCCUGGCGUGCCGCGGCUAAGCGAAAGCAUUAAGCAUCCCACCUGGGGAGUACGCCGGCAACGGUGAAACUCAAAGGAAUUGACGG
rnacentral:rRNA from 1 species